CAGCAGCCGCGGGAAUACGUAGGGUGCAAGCGUUAAUCGGAAUUACUGGGCGUAAAGCGUGCGCAGGCGGUUAUAUAAGACAGAUGUGAAAUCCCCGGGCUCAACCUGGGAACUGCAUUUGUGACUGUAUAGCUAGAGUACGGCAGAGGGGGAUGGAAUUCCGCGUGUAGCAGUGAAAUGCGUAGAUAUGCGGAGGAACACCGAUGGCGAAGGCAAUCCCCUGGGCCUGUACUGACGCUCAUGCACGAAAGCGUGGGGAGCAAACAGGAUUAGAUACCCCUGUAGUCCCUGUCUCUUAUAU
rnacentral:rRNA from 1 species